AGGUCAGAGGGGGUAACCGCUACUAACUUCUUCAAAAAUAAAUACUCUGGAUGCAUCUUGUAAUACUACUACUGUAAUAUGGUCAGAGGAGGAGGGAUACGCCCUUUUCUCGUGUCUUUGUGUACACCACUACUUUUUGUUUUAAAGAUGUAAAAAAAAAUUAUUCAUUUUAUAAA